rnacentral:rRNA from 1 species
GACAGAGGAUGCAAGCGUUGUUCGGAAUUACUGGGCGUAAAGAGUGUGUAGGCGGUGCUCUAAGUUCGGUGUGAAAUCUCCCGGCUUAACUGGGAGGGUGCGCCGGAAACUGGAGUGCUUGAGCGCGGGAGAGGAAAGCGGAAUUCCUGGUGUAGCGGUGAAAUGCGUAGAUAUCAGGAGGAACACCUGUGGUGUAGACGGCUUUCUGGACCGUAGCCUAGACGUGAGACACGAAAGCGUGGGUAGCAAACAGG